GCCUAGGCUAUUGCGGGGUAACCGCGCUGCAUCUGAAGACCUUUCCUGAACCCUUCCGUGCUUCUCGUAGGGACAAGGGGGCUUUAUUGUGUGUCCAAUUCGUGCGCUGCAGCAAAAUGGCCCUUCAGUCGCAUUUUGAGGGAUUCUCGGCAGGGUUCAAAUGCUCCAGCGGUGAAAGAAAAAAAAAAAAAUCCAGAAGGGAGGAAAAAAAGAGCGACGCCCUCCCUCCCCCAUUAAUUAUUUGUGGGGCUGGAGUAGCGCGGGCUGGUGCAACCGGUGCAUAUAAGGACUUGUGUGCAAAGAAGGGGAUCCGCCUCCAGCCGCGGAACGAAUGAGGGAGAAGCGCACUCCUGUGGGCGCCCAGCGCCCCCCGCCCCUCCCCCGCCACCCCCCGGGCCUCGGCAAUCUGCAACUGCCGCUGGGUCGGGUCCGCCAGCAGCCCCGGGAAUCCCAGAUGGCAGUUCUUCUGGACGGGUCACUUCCCGCCUCGGGGCUGGGAAGGUUUGCCAGAAGCGGGAAAGUCGGGCGAUCUGAGCUCCCUCUUGGCCUCGCCACACCCCGGACCUGUCCAUGCCGCAAUUCCCCCACGGAAACGACCGAAUUGAAACGAGAAUUGUUCUCCGGGUGCAGUGGUUUGAAUGCUUCAGAUUGUUGGAGCCGUAACUUGGGUUUUCUGCCCGUCAGUGUCCAAAGGGUGAUAGGUGUCUGAAACCAGAACAGAGAAACCUGGAAGUUAAGAAGAACAGCAACAGACUGAAAAUGGUCCAUCCAUGAAAGACAAUCUGCUUUAACUAUCAGGGUUUUCCCACCAAGAUAACAUCAGUGCGGCCAAAAAGCAAGGAUGACUGGAAUAUUAACUAACCUGCCUAAUCUUACUGUGUCUAAAUGUCUGUGGUAUCAGAGUUGUUCAAAACAGUCCCCAAAACAGGAUCAUUACUUCAUGAUAAUAAUAGGAUUAUUAUUCAUGAUCCAGUUGCACAUAGUACAUGGGUGAGCCUGCACUUUGUUCACAUGGAGGACUUUUGGGGGCUGGGAAGUGGGGCAAUGCCAGUCCUUACGUCAUCGCUUCCUUCAGAGCUUGUUACAGCCAUGUCACUGCCUGCCCUUGCUUUGACCGGGGGUAUUCCAGUUUGACUUGCUGGCCAUGAGCAUUUCACAACUCCGUUGCCUAUGUUAUCUUAAGUCUGCACUCUUCCCCCUUAAUCCAGACUUGGCAGCUCUGUUCCACCAUAUCUCCGCACGUGCUUAUUGUCCCUUGAUACUCCAUUCUAUUCAAAUUGCCAUCUCUGCUAAGUUGAGAAAUGGCGAUACUGUCAGAGACAGGAUAGAACAGUGGUGUAGACUUAGAGGCCCUGGACACCGGGUCCAGCUCUCCCCUUCCUAACCCUGAGACACUGGACAAUACAGAAUCUCUAUGUGAACAUUUUUACCUUGUUUUUAUUAAGGUAAUUUUAGAGUGAUUUUAGGCGCAUAUGAAAAUUGAGGAGAAAGUAUAGAGAUUUCCUGUAUACCAUCUACCCCUACACAUAACUUCUCCCAUUAGCAAUAUCCCCCAUCAGAGUGGGCUUCCCUGGUGGCUCAGAUGGUAAAGAAUCUGCCUGCAAUGCAAGAGACUGGGUUUGUUCUCUGGGUUGGAAAGAUCCCCUGGAGAAGAGAAUUUAUUACAAUUGAUAAAUGUCCAUUGACACAUCACACAUCAUAAUCACUCAAAGUCCAUAGUUAACAUUACAGUUCAUUCCUGGUGUUGUCCAUUCUAUGUAUUUGGACAAAUAUAUAAUAACAUAUCCAUCAUUAUGAUAUCAUGUAGAAUAGUUUCACUGCCCUAGUAUUUCCUCAUCCUAAAUGUGGCAGUAACAUGAUUGAUUCUGAAUCCUCUUAGGGUUAGAGAAAAUAAAAACUGCUUAACAAACAAUAAGGCAAGAAAGUUCAGUGUAUUGUGUUGAGAGUGAAAAAUUAGAAUUAGACAUAAUCUAAAAAUCUUAACACAGGAGCCCAGUUAAAUAAAUUAUGAUGUAAUCAACCAGAUAUUUGCAAUAAUUAAAAAUUAAGUUGUACAAUAGUUAAAGGUGUGGGAAAAUUAAGUGAAAACAAUUACAAUGUGUUCAAGUUACCAGGGGCUGGGAAGGGAGGAAUGGGGAGUCAUUGUUUAAUGGGUACAGGGUUUCUGUUUGAGAUGAUGAAAAGUUCUGGAAAUGGACAGUCGUGACGGCUACACAGCAUUGUGAAUGUACUUAAUGCCACUGAACUGUGUACUUUGAAGUGAUUAAAAUGGUAAAUUUUGUGUCAUGAAUAUUUUACCACAAUAAAAAAAAAUAAUAAGGUAGCUAGAAUGUUGCAGGAAGUUCUUCAAAAUGCAAAGCCAAUUCUCAUGUGAAGCCAUGGUGGUUUCUUACAGUUUGCUACUGUUAUGAUUAUGAGGAGCAUAUAAUUGGAUGUUUAUUAAAUUAUUAACUAAAACUUUAAGCACAAAUAAAAGUGUUUGGUUUAAAAAUA